AGCUUCCUCAUUGAUCAGAAGGGAUUCCGUCCUGUCAAUGAGGUAUAGCUUCCUCAUUGAUCAGAAGGGAUUCCUUCCAGUCGAUGAGGAGGCU
rnacentral:miRNA from 1 species